rnacentral:rRNA from 1 species
AAUGAACGCUGGCGGCAUGCCUAACACAUGUAAGUCGAACGAAGGCUUCGGCCUUAGUGGCGCACGGGUGCGUAACGCGUGGGAAUCUGCCCUUGGGUUCGGAAUAACUCAGAGAAAUUUGAGCUAAUACCGGAUGAUGUCGAAAGACCAAAGAUUUAUCGCCCAAGGAUGAGCCCGCGUAGGAUUAGCUAGUUGGUGAGGUAAAGGCUCACCAAGGCGACGAUCCUUAGCUGGUCUGAGAGGAUGAUCAGCCACACUGGGACUGAGACACGGCCCAGACUCCUACAGGAGGCAGCAGUGGGGAAUAUUGGACAAUGGGCGAAAGCCUGAUCCAGCAAUGCCGCGUGAGUGAUGAAGGCCUUAGGGUUGUAAAGCUCUUUUACCCGGGAUGAUAAUGACAGUACCGGGAGAAUAAGCUCCGGCUAACUUCGUGCCAGCAGCCGCCGUAAGAC